CCGGUGCUCCCACGGGCACAUACUGACCGCGUGUGUCUGGGCGCAGUGGCAGCCAUGGUGGCAUUAUCUGUGCCAUGGACCACGCCACCCAGAGACCUGGCAGCCCCACCUCAGUACAUACUCCAGAGGGGAGUCCCCAGGUGCCCCCAAGACGAUCACAAAGCUGACUGAAGCGGCUGUCCUGGGAACAAUGAGCAGAAAGAGCCAGUGGCCUCGGACAAGGGGCUGGGUGAGGAAACCAAGGCACAGAGGAGAGAAGCCACUUUCCCCAGGUUCCUGUGGCCAGGAAGCCCAGACUCAGGAUUGGAGCUCAUUUCUCCCUCCCCGGAGCUGGGAGGCUCUGGGGAAGGCAGGUCUGGGGUCUGUAGCAGAGAUCUGCGUGGCCCUGGGAGGGCGGUAGUGCUGGGGACACAAGGAGAGGAGCUCCAGGAGAAGGACUGGCCUCAGACUUCCCCAGGCGCAUUCUUGUCUAGACUGGUCACAGAGAAGUCAUAACUUGGGACAGAUGUGACACAUGGCAGAAGAAGGGAGGUCUAACAGCGUGCUCUUGUCCCUGGCUCCUCGUGAGCUGUGGCUGAGAUGGCUUCUGGGCUGGGAGAACCAGACUGGGCAGCAUCCCAGCCGGGCAGUACCCAAGAUAAGACCUUGCAUGGUCACCUCCGUGUCCUCAUUGUCAGGGGGGGAUAAUGAUCUCCCAGGCUUUGUGGUGGGCCUCAGAGAAGUGAUAUAUACAAAACUCUAGGCAUUUUAGGAUAUAUGAGAUUGCAAUAGCUACUCAAGCAAUGUUCAUUAAAUAUGUUAAAUCCAACCAAAUCCAUCAAAAAAAAAAAAAACUGAAUACUAAGUGUUCUGCUUGCCCUACUUGAGCAUCUCUGGGGGGGCACCUGAGCAGAGGGAGGGGGGCACUGUCCCCGAGUGCUGGCACAGGAGCUUGCUGACACCCUGAAGAAUGAGACAAACCCAGGCUUGUCUUGCUUUUCAGUUACUGUUAUUAAAAACCACGAAUUCACCCGAUUCUUCCAAAUCCACCCCCGCCCUGCCAGCCCAGCCCUGAACCCAUCCCAGCGAAGGCCCAGCUACAGAGAGUGGUGCCCAGCUCUGCCUCCAACCAGCCUUUGCAAGCCCUGCUCGGUGAUCUCAGCUGCUGCACAGGAAGGGAAACAUCUGCAGUCACCGCUGGCCUGGGCUGAGGGGGGUCAGUUUCACAGGAGAGAACAGCAGCCCCCUCCUUUGCUUCCUCAGACCCCUCUGUUCUCCAAAACAGAGGUCAAGUUCACCAGAACCCUUUAGAGGAAACAGCAAAUCUUUCUGCAGAGCCCACCCUCCAGGCCACUGUGCAGGCAGGACCUUCUCUUAGAGCUCAGGCCAGCAGGCCUCGGCGGGGAGUCACCAUGGCCAUCUCCAGCCAGAGCCGGUGUCCAGGCUCUGUCCUGCUCUGGGUUCCCAGGGAUGAGGCAGGCACAAGCCCCUCUUCCCUCGCCAAGCCCUGUGCACCCACCCAGGCCCAGAACCAGGGAGAGGCCCUGCUGUUUCCUGAGCCUGGUGCUCCCCACCAGCCCGGAGAGCAGCGUGGACAGAACUACCCCACAGCCCCCCUCUUCUACUUGCCAGCCGUGACACUGGGACAAGCCACUCCACGUGCUUGAACUCAGCUUCAGUCAGAUGGGAUCCCAACAGUGCUCAUGGCCCACGACUUCAGAGGGAAGGUUCAGUGAGAUGAGGCAGAAGGGGCCUGGCCAGGAAGUGCGCCACGGACGCCUGCGUCCUUACAUGAUUAACAUUAUUAACUUCUGGCUGUUGGUGCUGCUGCAGGUCUUUCCAUUGCCGUACGGGGUCUGGGCGCCCCGCAUCCCAGUGAGCUCACCGUGGCCCUGACCCUGCCUGGCCCUCCCUCCCGCUCUCAGCCUGGGCCUGUGUCGGCCCUGGCUCGGCCCUGCUGCCCCUGGUGCUGGAGGCCAAGCCCCAGGCCUGCCGGUGUGGCCAACCCCCUCCGGAGCCUCAGCCUGGGCCCUGAUCUACACCAAGGUCACCUGCCUCCGUGUUUGGGGAGAAUAGGUUUACCAUUAAGACUUCUCACUCCACUCACAAGCAGCCUGUUCCUUCCUGCCAGAAAGGUCAUUUCAUGGAAGAAAUCCCCAGAAGUGGAAUUACUGAUCAAAGGGCCCAAGGUCUCCCUGGUUGCUACCUAUUGGCUUAGCCCUACAGCCUGCUGGGUGUCCUGCCCCAGGCCCUGUCCACCCCACCUUCCCAACUGAGUCCAGUGCAGGCCUCACAACCAAGCCAUCAUUCACAUGCUGGUUCACUCCAUCUGUCCUAAUCUCCCCUGGCCAGGUCCGGGGCCAGGUGCUCGGGAUUCAUACAAGUCCUUCAGAAGCCCAUGACCUUGGGCUAACUCCUCUUCGUGAAAUUUCCUGGGACUGCCACACAGGGCCUCUGCCCCUCGUGGGCUUCUGCAGCUGCAGUCAACAAAUAGUUGGCGCAUCUUCUCGCUGUGGUGGAGACGCACACAGGCACCGUCCAGAGCGGCCUUGUUCUGUAGCCAGUGACACAAGGUCUCCUCCCUUCUCCCAUCCCAGAGACCACGGCUACUGGGAUUCCUGUCCUGGGAAUUUGGAAAGGCUGAGGUGUCAGGUGGACAGUGCUGAGCUUUGGAAGUUGGAGGCCCAGCUGAGGGACAACCUAAGGCACACACAGGACAAGGCCAUGGGACAAAGGAACAGCGCUGCUGGGGAAGUCAGCCUGCAGGGUGGAGAGCGAGACUGAGCACAGGGAGGGACAGGCCUGCAGGCACCACCCCGCAGAAAGGCCCAGAGAUGCCUCCCCUGCAGUGAAGUCCUGGGAGGCCCCUGGGGUCCGCCACAACCUCCUCUGGUGUGAACUGACUGAUCCAAAACCCUGGCCUGGGGCCUCCUCAUCAGCCGGAGUCCUCUGAUCCUCUCCGCCACCUCUACACCCAAACUGGCCUCCAGAGGGAAGCCCAACACCUGUCCACCAGGCCAGAUGCGAUGCUGCGUGUGUCACCCAGGCUGAGCCACGAAGUCCCCACCAGGCCACAGGGAAGCGCCACAACACUGCAACAGCUUCCUGUGUCACCUCUGCUUCUAGCAAGUGUCCUGUGGCCCAGGUCCCCUUGAUCUCAAAUCCCUGUUUCUCAAGUCUGUGGAGAGGGUUGGAUUUGCGCAGGUGGCAUGUCUGAGAACUGGGGGGGGCAUGGCGACAGGAAACUGCACCGGCUCUGCCACCGGCAGAGGACCAGGCUGCACGGCCAAGUGGCACCCCAGGACGGCUGAGCCUGGCACGGCCUGACUCUGCAGAGCCCCCAGGGCUGUGAGCGCCCCCAGGGCUGUGAGCGCCCCCACUGCCGGGCCUUGAGGCCAAGGGUAACGAGGAGACGCCACAGAGCAGCCUCACUUCAGAAGGAGCACGUGUCCUGCCUUCCCCGCUCCUGCCGCGUGGGAACAGGGAACACGGUGUCUCCAGGGAACACAUGGCUGAGGCUUAUGUAAGGGUCUUAAUCCAGGAAGAAGUUCCCAGGCUGAGCAAUUGCUCCGCCCACCUCAGAGCUGGAUGGCACCCUCUGGGAGAGCGUGUGGUCAUGCUCCGUCCUCCAGGAGAUGACCAUCCUGGGCUCAGAUGGCCAGGACUGCCUCUCUCAUCAGAUGACCAGGUCAGGCACUGCAGCAGCAGGGGUCCCAGGGCCUGCCAGGAGACCCCCCCCAGCUCAACUGAGCAUCCUGGGAGUUGCUCUAUGCAGGAUGAUGAUGGCCACCUAAAACCAGGACACCACGGUCCCCAGAAACAAAGACACCAACCAGUUCAAGGCCGCUGCCACCACAGGAGCAGACCCAGCCCCUCCAACCAGGGUCCCGCUCUCACUGUCCUUCGGCCAAGCCGGGGCACGGAGGGGUGUGGAGGCCCAAAGGCUGACUGGGCAGCCCUGGUCUUGUGGGGGAGGCUGGCCGGGAAUUCUAAAGCGGCCCAGACUGGGCAGAGCCUCUGUGAAGGUCAGGACGGAGGCCAGCAGCAGGCCUCUGAGUCCGACUACUUAAUCAGGACUCAAUCCAUUUCCUUCCUUCAGUCCAGGCUCCGAGGCCACCUUUCAAACUAAUGAGAAACCUUGUUUGGCGGCGGGCCGCUGCCGCCCUCCCCUGGUUUUUUAUUACCUCCCCCAAAGCCUCCUUCCCUGAAGAGGAACCGAGGGGCUGAGCUGUGCUCCCCGCUCUGCAGCCAAGCGCUUCAGCCCAGGUCUGCUCAGAGCCCUGGGGAGCCGAGGUUGCCCCAGGACUCUAGGGCCGAGACCGGGGGCUGCUCACACAAGUGAGCAGGGGCUGGCCAGGGGGGUUGGCACUUGUGCCUCAUCUCCUGCUGCUCCCUCCUGACCAUCAGGCGCCAAGUUCAAGGGAAAUAAAACCCCCACAAGUGGAUAGAUGACGUUUCUGAGGCUGCCCUCUGCCAGGGAAAGAUACCAAUAGCCCAGCGAGGCCUAGGCAAAGUGGGGCACCCGGGGGAAGAUGGGGAGGGACAGGCCCAGGGGCAGAGCCUCCUGGACAUCAAGCCAGGGCGGCCACAGCACAGUGGCCAAGGAGACAGAGACCAGAGCAGCUGCUGCAAGCUUGUCCCCAACUACUUAAUCAGGAUGAUGAUGAUUCUGGGCCAUUCUGUGGCCCACUCUCCCAGGGUCCCCCAUCCUCCAGGGAGGGCAGCCCCACCCCCACAGCCAGUGCCCAUGGGCUGGGCGCUGACUCAGAACCUGAGUCACAGGUGGCUUCCUCCGGCAGAAGCUUGCCCAGGCAAUUGUCCUCUGAUCACUCAGCAGGUGGACAGGCCCCAAGGGGCUGGCAUCUGCAGCCUGGGGGAAAGAAACUGCACGCUGAGCAGCCUGGUCAGUAGUUGAGGAAAGUUCAAGCUCCCACUCAGGUGGCUGUGAGCGGGUUCCACGGUGCAGCUCGCCCCCUGAGAGCCACAUGACUGGCCAGCUCUGGAGUGCGUCUCGGGCAUCCCACGAAAUGUCUUCCCAACAUGGGGAGGGGCAGCCCUCCCGGGGCCUCGAUACUUCCCUAAGUUGUUCAGCACAGGACGCAGAGCCCCCCAUCAUAAUUUGCUUUGGGGUUCUCCAAAGAAAUGGAAUUUGCUUCAGCGAUCCUAAGCAGAAAGCUGGGCUCUGGAACCUGCCCGCUUGGUGGCUACACCCCUGCCCCACCAGGGACCUGUGGCCUGGGGGCCCUGUCAAGCGGGCAUUGGAAUCUUUUGGUUCCUGCCACCACACACAGCCUAAGGACAGUCACUGGGCAGAGCUGGGGCCCUCUCCACAGAUGGCUUUCCUCUUCAGACCACUGUCACUCCCAGCUGGCCUGGCCCUCAGGCAGCCUGCAGAUGCUCCCUGCAGGUUGGGGCCACAGGCUGGGCCUCACCUGCCUCUGGACCAGGUGGCCCCGAGAGAAGGGGAUAAUUGUUCAGUCAGUGUGAUGCGGACUCCUGGUCUUGGGCUGAGUCCCACCCCACCUCCCACGUAGGCCUCCCACACCUGUCCGUCAGACUCCAUGAUUCAGGGGAGCAGGCCCCAGCUCCCCCAGCCGGGCCAGCUUCCAGCACCGGCAGGUUGACAGUCAGGAGCUCUCUCCUGGCAUCCGGCCCUGUUUCACCCCCCGAUUCCUCAUUACUCUCCUGGGCCACUCUUCACCAAGCUUCUCUCCUCUGCCUUCGUGCCCUUCAAAGGUUUGUAGCAGAACUCGUUUCUUGGCUGAAGGACGGGCCAUCAGUCUCCUUAAUCUGACUUCAUAAAUCGCCACCUGAGUACCCCCAGGUGCCCCCUGAACUCAUGAGCCCUCUGGCUACCUCUUGGGCAGUCCCAGGCCCCAGGUCCCUCCUGGAAGGGUGGGUGUGCCCCCAACACACCCAGCAUGUCCCCUGCCCCUCCCAAGGCCCCCAUGUGGAGGGGGCUCGGCAGCAGCGCCUGCAGGAGUCUCGCCAGGGGCCGCGCAGCUGCCUCUCCUGUCAGCGGGGCCUUCUCCUGGAACGGAUGUCUUAAGCUUGCUGGGAUCAAUUGUCCGUGGUGUCCCACUUAAUUCCCCUGCCAGGAGGCUGACAGCUUCAGCAGAGCAGGGUACAAGAAGGACUUUGUCAGGACGCUGAAUCAAUCCCUAAGGGACGUGGCCUUUGAGGCAGAGAGUGGAGGAGGGCAGGCUGGGGUCUGGAGAGGGUCUCCAGGACCCAUGAUCCCACCUUUAGAAAAAACCAGGGGAGCCCUGCUUACCCAGGACAAAGGGCGUAGCACAGCCCGAGUCCCGCACCCAGCCUGGACCCAGCCGGCACUCAAGCCCUCUCACUAAAAGGCCAGGUAAAGUUUCCACCAAAGCCCAGGAAAGGAAGGUGAGAGGAAGAGGACAUGCGCGUGCACCUAUGUGUGACUUCUUGUUGGGGAGAAGACCCCAAGAUCCUUUAAGAUUAUUGGAGUCAGCCCUUCCCUGCUGGAGCGGCUGCUCUGCUCUGGGCAGGAACUGGUGAAAUGCAGAGGGGAGGGGGACGCAGCCCUGGCCGGGAGGGCUGCCGGCUUCCUGGAGGAGGGCAGUCACCUCGCAGCCGAGGGCAGGGCCUGGCGUUGCCCUGCUGCAGCACUGACUCUCACGCUGUGGUCCAAGACCGGCCGCCGCCGCCCCCCGAAACUCGUUAGAAUGCAGAGUUUCAGGUGAAUCAGACGCUCUGGGCGGGGGGGAGCCCACCUGCAGGUGAUCCAGGUGAGAACCACUGGGCUGGGGCGUGGGAAGACCUGGCCGAGGGAACCCCAUCCUGGGAUUUCUCCCCUGCUGCAGAGUUCAGGGCCUGAUGGUGUUUUCAGGGCUCUGGGGGCAGAGCCUGAUGGUCCCGUAGGUGGGCCAAGUGUGUGUGAGGAGAGUCGGCAAAGCAGAAAGCAUUUCUGAAAGAACCCGUGAUUUAGGGUUUCCCUAAAUAGCAUUAAAGUAACCACCAAGGGGACACAGCACCCUGGAGGCUUGCUCUAUUUUGUCCCCAAUCAGACAUUAGUAUAAUUGCUGUAUAAAGUAAACGUGAGCUUAGAGCUUCCCGCACCUGGAGCCCUUUCCUUGCUCUCCUGGACUGGUCUCUUGGACCUUCCUUCCAGAAUCAUUUUCCUAUAGAAAUGGCCCCAGUGAGGGUCUCCAGUCCCUGAGCUCUGUCUGAAGAUGUCUUCAUCUUCUUGAAAGGUAGAGACCCUGGGUGGACAGUUACUGACUGUAUAUUUUCAUACCCGAUGCUGUGACACUUCUAAGCUUCUGGCCUCUGUUCUCACUGGAGACAUCUGCCUUCAGUCUAAUAUGCGUGCAUUUGUAGAAGAUUUGUCUCUUCUCUCUGGCUUCUUUUAAAACCUUCCUUUUCCUAUUCUACAUCACCAUGAUGGGUCCAAUUAUGGCUUAAGAAAAAAAACAAAAAUAAAGUUUCUUGUUUGUGCUGUCUGAACUGAAAUUCAUGUCUUCUAGCAAUUCUGAAAAUUUCUCAGCCAUCAUCUCUUUGAAUAAUGACUUUCACCCCAUGCUCUCUUCCAGCUUCAGGAACUCCAAGCGGAUUUGUGUUCUUUCUUCUCACGCCAACCUCCUCCUCUCUCUCACCUCCACUCCAUAUUUUUCCAUGUUUUUCUUCUGUCCUGUGUUAUACAUCCCAGGAAUAGCUUCAGCUUCAUCGCUCAGUCUGCCAAUUGCCCUCCAAACUGAAUCUCUGUCUGUCUAACACGUCCAUUGAAUUUCCCAUUUCAGUUCGUAUAUUUUUCAUUUCUAGGAGUUGUACUGGACUUUUUUUCCUAUCUCUCUGACCACUUUCAGAAUAUAUUUUUCUGUGUCUACAUUCUCAUUUUUAAAAUUUAACAAUUGUUUAACUUCUUUUUAUUUCUGAUCAUUCAGACAUCUGAAAUCAUUUGAUCCAGUUUUGUGUGUGAGGUUUCUGCAGAUGCUGACUCACCAUGGAUGACUGACUUCCUCCCAUACCCCGCCCCCCAGAAGAUCUGGCCACAGCCCAGCACAGCAGGUCUCUCUUCCUCCCAACCCAGUUCUUCCCUCAUGAGGCUCACGGUUGAAUCACAUUCCCAGUUUCCCAUGUAGCUGAAUGUGGCCAUGUGCCUGCAUCCAAUCCAAUAGGACCCAGUGGAAAUGGUAGGUACCAUUUCCAGAUCUGAACCAUACAACCCUCCUGCUCUUCCCCUUCCUCAGUGACCUUGAAAGCUUCAAGGUGGAGAUGGCAGAGCCAUAAGAAAGAUGCACCUGGGUCACUACUUAACAGAGAAUUGCCACCACAUCUGUUGUCACUCAAGCAGGAAAAACUGCCGGAACUCAAGGCUGUACCUGCCACAGCAGCCAGCACGCCUUAGCUACUUCCCAGGCCACUGUGUAGCCCGAAUUAACCUCUCAUUACAGUGAUACUAUGAAUUAGGUCUUUGCAGAACCUUUGCCAGGCUUAGCUAAGUCAAGGGUGUUUACCUGGGUCACAGAGCCCGAGGGACCCACUGUAAAAGGUCCCCUCCCUGCCAUGUGUCUCUUAGCUCUGGACCAGGUCCUAUUCUGGCCACUGAGAUUCCAGACAACGCUGACAGCUCUGGAGGAGUUCGCAGACAGGUCUGCAGAGACACGGCAGGCUGGAGGACCCAGCUAAGACCCUGACGCUCACACGCUCCUCUAACCUUCUCAGCAGCCUCAGGGGAAGUCACGGGCCCCUGCUGAUGAGACCAAGCGCAGGAACAGGCUCUGCUGGGACGCGACGGUGUGUCGGUGUGUCCUGUGUCCGCCUGGCUGGGCUGCGGCACGUGUUCAAACACUGGUCUAGAUGUUCUUAACCCUCAGCGAGUUGAUGGUCGGCAAAGGGACUGAGCUGGAUAACAUGGGGGCCCAUCCAUGGCUUGAAGGCCCCGUCUGCGAAGACUGGUGCUUUCCGGAGAAUCGGGAUCUUGCCUCAAGCCUGGGACAUGCAGUCCAGCCUGCCCCACCCUCGCCGCCCCGCCCGCCCACCUAAUACCCUCACUCCCUCCCUCUCUCUCUAAUGUUUCUAUAAAAUCAUUGUUGCUCAGUGAUAAGGAUACAUUCUGAUAAGGCUUCAUUUAGGCAAUUUUGUCUUGGUGCAAA